UUACUUACCGUGUAGAACCUGAGGAAGGAUCAUUAAUGAGUACAGGAUGUCACCGGGCAAGGCCUAACCUCCCACCCGUGAAUACCUGACCAACGUAGUUUAAGGCGGUGCGCCCCCCCCGGGGGUAGCCGCCGGAGCCACACCGAACGUACAGUCUUUAGUGUUGUAUGAGCUUGAUAGCAAACUUAUUAAAACUUUCAACAAUGGAUCUUUUGGUUCCGGCAUUGAUGAAGAACGCAGCGAACUGCGAUAAGUAAUGUGAAUUGCAGAAUUCAGAGAAUCAUCGAGUCUUUGAACGCACAUUGCGCCACCUGGCAUUCCGGGGGGCAUGCCUGUCGGAGCGUCAUUGCUGCCCUUCAAGCCCGGCCCGUCUGGCCCCGGUCGUCCCCCCCGGGGGACGGGCCCGAAAGGCAGCGGAGGCACCGCGUCCGGUCCUCGAGACUAUGGGGCUUUGUCACCCGCUCGAUUAGGGCCGGCCGGGCGCCAGCCGGCGUCUCCAACACUUUAAAUACCAGGUUGACCUCGGAUCAGGUAGGAACCAAAAUU
rnacentral:rRNA from 1 species